AAAACCAAUAAAAAUGCAUGGAUUCUAUCAAAUACUUUGUAAAAUCCGAUAAAAAAAUAUGCUUUCUACCAAUGAUUUCUCUCAAUAUUUUAACUCUUUCAUGCAAAACUCUAAAACUCACUAAAAUUUGACCCCUCUUUCUUUCUCCUUAUCUAUCAAUCAAUUGUAACAACAUAGAAACAACAAGAAGGUUUAAUUUCUAUGAAAAGGUGAUUUAGGAUUUAAGAGUUAUCAACAAGAAAAAAUGUUGAUUUUAUAGUUUUGUAUCUAGAAAUUUGAUUUGAUUAAGUGUCAAAGCUUUAAUGAAGAUUAUUGACGAGUCUUUGAAUGUGAACGCUUUUGUUUAUUGAAUAUUUGUGUUGUUAUUCAUUCUGGUGUCCCUGUUUCAAUUUAUAGUGUUGUUGUGUAAGCUUUGAAGAUUUAAGAAGUGUUUUUUCAGUGAUUUCAGAAGCUUUUCUUUAUUGCAUUUCCUGAAAGACAAUUUGUGUGGCUUGUUUGGACUUCACCUGCUUGUUUUUGGGUUGUAGAAUUAGUGGGAUUUUAACUGCCUGUUUUCCACUGCAAUUCUUAUAGUUUGUUUUGAAUUCAUGUUUUUCAGUUUGCAUUUCUCGUAAUUUCUUCAUGUUGCAUAUAUUCUCAUUAACCAAUUUUAAUUUUUGACUGGUACUGGCAUAGUUAUUACUCACUUUCUAGCCUUAUUCAACAUUUAAAUCCUAGAGACAUCCAAGUUUUUCCUAGGAUUUAUAAUAAAAGAAAUCUAGUAAGGUCUAAUUUUCUAUUAGUCAAUGAGGGCCACAAAUCUACUAAGAUCUGAUUUUCUAUUAGUCAUCUUUCUCUGAAGCAGUUUAACUGUUCUUUUAAUUUUAUUUUAGCUUUGCAUUAAGUUAAAACAUUAAUAAUUUUUGUUGUGGCUGUUAUUUGUUAUUUAGAAUGAGGUUCAAAACCAACCAUUUAUUAACUUAUUUGAUAGUGAGAUGUUUAAAUGGACACAAAAGCCAUGCUCCUCUGAAUUAUUUUCAAGUCCCGCCAAAAUGCAGGCAGUUGAUGAUGCUGUUGAGAUUGAUGAAAUGAGGAAUUAGUGGCAGCAACUCAAGAGCAUCGGUCAAGUGUUGAUGCUUACAGAAAAGAAGAGUACCAAAAAAAUCAAAGCCUUCCCCUGAACUUAAAAUUUGCUCAGAAUAUCAGUGUGCUUUCUGUCUCUCAUUAGAAGAAUCAGUGAUACAGGCUUCUGCCGUGAUUGUGCACUAUUUUGAUGGCAAGCUUGUAACCGCUGAUUAUAAAGGAGGAUCUAAAGUCAUACAUUGUAACAGGAAUUGCAUAGAUGGUAUUGUUUACUUUUUGUAUGAGUAAUGUAAUUAAAGUGGAUUUGGAUAAUUGCUGCUAAUUAUACUUCAAAUAACUAUAUAGUUGUU